AAAAAAUACAGUUUUGCAUUAUUCAUAUCCAACGUUUGACUAUUCGUUUUAUUUGAAUUUUUUUAUAAUUAGUAUUUUUAUUAUUAUUAGAUGAUAGAACAUAAAUAAUACUUUAUAUGUGACUAUUUUUUUAUAAAUUUUUUAAAUAAGAUGGAUAGUCAAAUAUUGGACACGGAUACCCACGGCUGCACUUAUU
rfam:Oryza sativa Japonica Group DNA, chromosome 1, cultivar: Nipponbare, complete sequence.